rnacentral:lncRNA from 1 species
GGAGAAGCUGCGCGCCAAGUCGAGGCACCGCCUGCGCGCCAACGGCCGCCUAUUAUCUGCUGGCGUUGUCGGAAGCGAGGUCACCAGGAGCGCCACUGCAGAGAGCCCGCCCCCGCGUCACCUCAGGGAAACGGCAGAGGGGCGACGCCGUGAGGGGGGUUUCGCCCUGUGAGUCCGCCCCUUCUUGGGGCGUACCCUCGUUCCCGGUGGGAAGCCUGCGGAAACUCCGCUGCCUCCGGCUGCCCUGCCUAAUAGAGGGCGUGCCCUGCGAAGCCCUCGUGGACACGGAGUCUACAAUCUCGAUUGUCCGAUGUCUCGAUGGUGCUGCCCGGAACGGCGCGCCAUCCCCCCAAGGGAUGGACCGAGGUGUCAGCGAGCCUGCGCACGGUUACAGGAGAGACCGUGGCGAUGUGGGGGAAAAGACGUUUGCGCGUGGCUGUGGGCAACCAGCUGCUGGAGCACGAGUUCUGGCUCGCGGAGAUCCAGGAUCUGUGCAUUGUAGGAAUGGAUCUCCUGGCCGAGGCGGGGGUGGUGCUGGACCUGGGCAGACGGUCGCUACAGCUGGCAGGUGAGAACAUUGCCCUCACUCACAUGCGGCGGCGGCGGAAGAACCUCAAAACACAUGCCCUCUCCGCCAGUUCACGAGUGGAGGGGACCGGGGCUGCGCACCAAAUGGCAGUUGAGGGAGAGCCCGAGGCACACAGCGGGGGCUCCUCUGGUGCAGGGUGCGUCACGCAGCCCUCGGCGACGACUCGUGAAGCGGUGCAGAUGCUGUGGCAGCACAGCGGGGCGGAGUUAGAAGAGGGUCAGCGAGAGCAGUUGAGGGAGCUCCUGAAUGCCUUCAUGGACAUCUUCGCAGCCCGGGAUGAAGACUGCACCAAAACGGACCUGGUGCAGCACCACAUUGAGACAGGUGGCGCGGCCCCCAUCCGCCUGCGGCCGCAUCGCCUAGAAAAAGGUGAGAGAGAUGGCGGCAGCGGGCAUCAUCAAGCCCUCCAGCAGCCCCUGGUCAGCGCCGGCGGUCCUGGUGCAAAAGAAGGAUGGCAGCUGGCGGUUCUGCGUGGAUUAUCGUCGCCUGAAUGCGGUAACCAAACAGGACUCCUAUCCCCUGCCACGCAUUGACGAUGCGUUGGACUGCAUCGCAGGGUCACAGUGGUUCAGCUCUCUGGAUCUGAGGAGUGUCUACUGGCAAGUCACUUUGGCGCCAGAGGCCGG